rnacentral:ribozyme from 1 species
AGCAAUACUGCACUGGUAAGGUAUAGAUCCGAAGCCUUUUGAAGGUUAAUAAAGGCCCUCCACAAUUCACUUCAACUCAAUACGUCCCCGGCGUACAAAACGGUAACAUGUCUAUCCAAAUGUUUGAGCUCGGGUAUAAGGGGAAACCCAUCACCCCGUGAGAAGAUGGAUGAUAUGGCUAAAUUGAGCGCA